GGAUCCAGACUUUGAUUCUGGCUCAGGAUGAACGCUAGCUACAGGCUUAACACAUGCAAGUCGAGGGGAAACGACAUCGAAAGCUUGCUUUUGAUGGGCGUCGACCGGCGCGCGGGUGAGUAACGCGUAUCCAACCUGCCCAUCACUUGGGGAUAACCUUGCGAAAGUAAGACUAAUACCCAAUGAUAUCUCUAGAAGACAUCUGAAGGAGAUUAAAGAUAUAUCGGUGAUGGAUGGGGAUGCGUCUGAUUAGCUUGUUGGCGGGGUAACGGCCCACCAAGGCGACGAUCAGUAGGGGUUCUGAGAGGAAGGUCCCCCACAUUGGAACUGAGACACGGUCCAAACUCCUACGGGAGGCAGCAGUGAGGAAUAUUGGUCAAUGGGCGAGAGCCUGAACCAGCCAAGUAGCGUGCAGGAUGACGGCCCUAUGGGUUGUAA
rnacentral:rRNA from 1 species